rnacentral:rRNA from 1 species
UGAGGAAUAUUGGUCAAUGGGCGCAAGCCUGAACCAGCCAUCCCGCGUGCAGUAAGACGGCCCUCUGGGUUGUAAACUGCUUUUCCAGGGGGAGAAUUUUUCUGUCGUGACAGGAAUUGACUGUACCCUGGGCAUAAGCAUCGGCUAACUCCGUGCCAGCCCCCGCGGUAAUACGGAGGAUGCGAGCGUUAUCCGGCUGUCUUGGGUUUAAAGGAUGCGUAGGCGGAUUGAUAAGUCAGUGGUGAAAACCUGCAGCGUAACUGUAGACUUGCCGUUGAUACUGUCAGUCUUGAGUGUGGUAGAGGUAGGCGGAAUGUGUAAUGUAGAGGUGAAAUGCUUAGAUAUUACACAGAACACCGAUUGCGAAGGCAGCUUACUGGGCCAUUACUGACGCUGAUGCACGAAAGCGUGGGGAUCGAACAG